CCCCCGCCGCAGCACGCCUCCGGAGCCGGGUGCGGAGUGUGGGGAGCAGCCCGAGUCCCCACGACGCCCAGGAGAGAGGGGCUCCUGCCCGUGACGGAGGAGUGGUCGAUGGGGGUCUCCCGCCUGCGGCGCAGGCUCCUUUUCCUCCUGUCUGGGUCCGGCCGAAUUCUGGUAACCCGCAGACUAGGUGCCGCGGGGAGACCUAUGGGCCCGCAGGGGUGACAUCACCUGCCACCCCAGGAUCUCUAAGCGCGGUUUCAGGGGCCGGUGCGGCUGCCAGGCCCCUCCCCUCGGCAAGGCUGGGGAGCGGCGCUGAUGGGGUUAAGGUCCUGCCCGCCCGCGGGAAGCCUUGGCUGCCCUAGGACUCCUUCCUUCCAAACCUUAACAUUUCAGAUCCAGUUCUUAAGAGGAGAAGCAGACCCUCGCCCAUGAUGCUGAAAGGAGACUACACCCAGCUCUGGAACUACUGAGGUGGGGGCCUCCAGAGCUGCCCACGGGGAAAUGGUGGCCAUUGGCUCACAGUAGGUUGGGUGAGCCCCUGAGAGUUGCAGGGGAAGAUGUUCUGGGGUGUGAAAAGCCUCCACAGGUGGCUGCAGUGGGUGCAUUUCAACCUCAAGGUGACAGUGGCCCCUCCCUGCAUCCACUUGGCUCUCUGCCACCCUAGCCCUCCUGCUCUGGCUCUUGUGGAUCUCCUUGCUCAGCUGUCACCCUCCCACCAUCUCUGACUUGCACAGAAGACUGGGAGGACCCAGCAAGCAGGCACCUGGAGCUUGGCAGAGAGGGGGGCGUGCAUCUCCAAUGAGAUGCUCCCGAAAUAGAACCAGGAUGGGAGAGGAAGCAAAUGGGCUCUUGGAAGAACCAGAGGGAGGACGGUGAGAUGGAAGAGCAGAGAGGGGCCCAGGGCUUCUCUUCCUCCCACGUGGAACCCUCGGUAAAGGCACAGAACCCAGAAGAAAGGUGCAGGCAGGAGCCCAGCCCAGGGAAGCAGCAGCACUGCCCCCUCCCCAACAGCCAGCACCACUACCAAGGCGGCUUGGGCCCUCUGCACACUGCGGGGAUUGUCCUGAUGGCUACAUCUGGGCACUGACUGUGAGGAGGCCAUGGAUGUAUGUUUCUGCGUGAGUCACAUAUAUUUGCAUACAUUUUACAUUUUUAUCUACAAAGGCUUGAACAAGCUAUUUUCAGCAUUUUUCAAGCUAAAAUGUUACAGUUGCUCUCCUUAGCAUUGCCAUAGUUUGCUUUUUUCUACCUUCUGUCCAAUCCUCUCCCAGACCUCCCAGUCUGGAACACAAUAUAGGGGAGAAGGGAGAGGGAUCUUGGAGGCAAAUAAGAAGGAACACUUCUAAUAAUGAGCAGAGAAUGCCCACAGUGGACCUGGCUUGGAUCUUAGUGCUUUGUUAACACGAUAGCCUUACUAUUAUCUCAGUUCCUUCCAUUUUCCAGAUGAGCAAACCAAGGCACUGAGCAGCUAAGUAACCUGUCCAGACAGUAAGUGGAGGGCUAGGGCUUGAACCCUAGUCUACUCAUCCUCUUAAGUGCCAGGCAUGCUGCCUCCACUGUCAGGGUUGAAGGCAGGGUGGCAAAGGUCCAUGGAAAUCUUUGCUGGUCCGUAGGUUGGAGACCACCUUCUAGGAAACUCUUCCCAGCCCUCUUCCAUCUCCAAACAACUGUCUCACACAUACAUAUCCCAGGAAAGGGCAGUUACUUCAAGAUGCCCUGAUGCCUAGAUGGGAUGACUUCCAGUGGACGUACCACCCCAUGGCUUGACUCUAACCUUGGCUAUGGAGACAAGGGUGUGGAAGCACCAGGGUGAUAUGAGACCAGAGCAGAAGCCUCCAGAUUCCUGACACUGAGAGUGGAGAGGAGGUUGGGGAGUCCCAAUACCACAUGCUAGGAAGGAAAGGGUUAAAGAGUCAUUCUCAUCUACAUUGUGUCCACGGUGAAGUGCUCUGCCAGCAACCCCCAUCUGUCAGAUCAGCAGGGGGGCAUUCCCAUGGACAGGCCGCCCUGAUUCAGCUGAGUGCAGACCUGCCUGUGUACCUGAGGCACUGAGCCAGCACCCAUCACACCUUGUCCUCCAAGCCUGCACUAACUGUUCACUGUCCUGUCCUCCAGGUGAAUGUGUGAAUGUUCUCCACCUUCUCCAGCCCUCCUGCUGGCCUGUGCACUCAGGCUGUCCUCGGCUCCCCUCCUCCCGUGGCGACCAGCCUGGUCCUGCCUCACCACCGGAUUUAAGGGGGAUUUAAGGGUGGGUUGCCAGGAGCACUGGGCUGAUGAGGAGGGGACGAGCAGGAAGCAGAUAGAUCCCUUUCUGAAGAUCUGCGGCCUUGCCCUUAAUUCCCAGGGCUGUGCUGCUCACUGCCUCUCUGACAACCAGCUCGCUUCUACCAGCUACUUGGCCAGGAUGGAAAAAGGAUGACCAUGCUUAGAACCAAAUCUGUGUAUUUCCACUUUUCUUCCCUCCUCACUAUUAGCAGCCCCGCUCCCCUGUGCACAGCAGGAAGGCCCUGGGAGUCCCAGCUUCCUUGAUCACCGAUGAAUCACUUCUGGUGAAAAAGAUCUCCAUUCCAUUCACCUCUCCCCACUCUGAAGCCAGCAGGGACCACCAGUGUGCACAGGCUGGAGCCAGAGGUCUGCAGAUGACUCCCAGCCCCUUGCUGCUCUGCCAGGAGCUCUGACGCCACCCGCCAGGCUGGCCCCAUCCCUGUCAGGCCCAGGAGUGGCCACAGGGGCUGAAGACAGGCUGUCAAGGAGACCGGCUCCCAGAGGUGGCGGCUCAGCAUUCAAGAAGGCGAGGAUAAAGGAGCAUCAGAGCCUGGCCAGUGGUGCUUGUUAUCAGUGGAGUCUCGCUGCUGUGGGGUUACCAUUCAGGUUUGCAGUGUGUGGUCGUGUCUCUUUAAGGACGAGGCCUCUUUAAGACAAGUUCCCUCUGCAGUCUUUCCUGCCGCCAGUGGUCCUGCGGCAGACAACGGGGGCUUCCGAGCGCCAUCUGGUGGUCCAACAGAGCAGCACCUCAGCCACCAGUGGCGAUCCUGCCACCCUGGACAUAGUCUAGCCAAGAGGCCUGGAAAUGUCUGCACUAAAAUCUCAGCUUUGCCCACUGGAUUGUGCACAGGGAUGUUGGGUUACCAUCAUGAGCAAUGGGGCUAGGGAAGUCAGGAGGAACUCCAUUUAGGAUCAGGAGACAGCAGGAGCCCCCAAGAGUAGCCUGGGAAGAAUAAACCAUCCCAUUGGACAAAAGCUUCCCUAAGAUAUUCUGAGAAGGGCAGAGGAUAAUUUACCCAGUCUCCCUGCUGGCCGUGUGCAGGACAUAAAGCGAAGCUGUGCAUAUCCUGUCCCCACAGACACUGGAACAGUGGUUCUCAGUUAGGGGAGGGGUAGUUGGUAUUGCCCCACAAGGGAGGAUUUAAA